AAAAACAGUCAACUCCAGAACUGGCACCGGACCGGGGGAAUCCGACUGUCUAUUUAAACAAAGCAUUGCGAUGGCCGCUGGUCGGUGUUGACGCAAUGUGAUUUCUGCCCAGUGCUCUGAAUGUCAACGUGAAGAGAUUCAUCAAAGCGCGGGUAAACGGCGGGAGUAACUAUGACUCUCUUGUGCGAUGCCUCCAAGGAGGCAUGAGGUGCUUCUACGCCCACCGCAGUAUGACCACUGCGGUGAGGAUCGCGGGCGAUGGGCCUUCGUCUGGUGUGGUCCGUCGGAGUUAAGCCCCCACCCAUAGGUUUGGUGGGGGCAACUGCGGGUACCUCUGCCCUUCAGAGUGUAAGGUGCGGGGGGGAACUUGUGAGCCCCAUCUCCUCGGAGUUAUGGUGGUGAACAAACCUCCUUGUAUAAAAAAAAAAAAAAAAAAAAAUAGCCAAAUGCUUUGUCAUCUAAUUAGUGACGCGCAUGAAUGGAUUAACGAGAUUCCCACUUGUACAAUACAAUAGUUGGUUUCAUUUAUAACCCCUUAAUUCCAAUUGGCUUUUUCCUGAAAUUUUCACUUGAUCACAUGAUCCUAUUCAUUUUUAUUGGAAUUGGGUUAAGCCUGCGGUGCGAAAGCGGGAGCGGGAAGGGGACAAGUUUUUCUUAAAUUUUUUACAAGAGCCCCGACUCAAAAUCUGUCCCUAUCUACUGCUACUACUGCUAUACCUUUGUGGUGCGGGCAGAGGAGCAAUUUUAUUUUUAUUUUUCUUGACUUAAUUUCCCUUUUCUUUUAAGUCUCCUCUAUAUAUUUUGUCCCUAUCUACUAUCUAGCGAAACCACAGCCAAGGGAACGGGCUUGGGAAAUCAGCGGGGAAAGAAGACCCUGUGAGCUUGACUCUAGUCUGACUCUGUGAAGAGACAUGAGAGG
rnacentral:ncRNA from 1 species